GUCUCUUCACAUCCCUCGAUGGGCCUGUUCGACUGUUGUGGCUGGACUGCGACAUCACCCCACACUUGCUGAGUCAAAAUUCUUCAUUUGAAAAGAUCCCCAGAUUUCUGGUGCUGACUGCCUCAGGACACACUCAUAUUGCAAUAUGACCUCUGUUCCUGAAUCUUUGAGUUGAGGGUGAACCGACAAGCUGAACUUGCCAACUGCAUGGAAACUACUAGAGUCCAUUUCAACAUAUCAAGUGGGAGACAUUACUGUGAGAUUCACACUUUAGCACUGCACUUCGGUUGCCCAUAAAGACCAAAGGAAGCCAUGGGAAGAGGAAGAAGCCAUGGGAAAAUGGAACAAUGGCUCGUUAACAUGUAUAGAAAAGACAACCUGGCUGGAACUCUGAGAGGCCACCUGUGCAGGUACAGUUCCCCCUGACCCCCACCAAUGUUUGCUGGGUGUUCGAGGAAGCUAAACCCAAUAUGUUAGUGCUCAUGAACUCUGGGAAGGAAUAACAACAGCUCUACUCUGAGGUAAUCUCUGAAGAAGUGAACAAAAAAGUGAAUGAAUUUCUCUGCUAACUAGAGAGGAUGAUACAGCAUGGACAUCUGGGGGCCUGUGGUCCUGAAAGAGCACCUUGUAGGCGGGCAGAGGCCCAAGGCUGGUGUCACUGGAGCAGACUGGAGCAGGAGGACCGCUGAGCUGUAAGUAGUGGUGGUGAUGGUGUUUGAUGAACUCUUUGCUCAGUGAGCACUUUCUGUAGUACC